AUAAGAAACAUGGCCAGGCAAGAUGGCUUAUGUCUUUAAUCUCAGCUGUUUGGGAAGCCAAGUGGAAAGAUUGCUUGAGGCCAGGAGUUCAAGACCAACCUGGAUAAUACAGCCCAGUCCCAAAAAAGCACCUGAAGCUUGUUUUAGUUUUCAUUCUUCUUAUGAGAGAAAUUGGGCCUGAUGCUGAAGGAGAACUCUUCUGUCCACUGCAAGUCCACUUACAUGAGCAGCUAAAUAAAUGAAUGGGAUUCUGAAGGACUGUAUGUGGAGAGCAAGGUUAACCAUUUGUGCUUGCUGCAUGAGUGAAUAAGCAACGAUGAGUGUUAGGCUGUUUAUUCAGAUACCCUCACGCCACUGCAGAAGCGAGUAGAGGAAGAAUACAAGGAAAAAAGUGUCUCCCAGCCUGUGGAAAGAGGAUGGCUAUUUCAUCCACUAAAGGUGUACACUUUAAGUGAAUUGGUAUGUCUACAUCAUCCCAGGAGGAGUGAAUGUCUGUGUGUGUGUACCUGAGAUAAGAUGAUGUCUUGUCCAAUGCUGGUUUCCACCUUGUGCCCUGAGCUGUUGGGAGAGGCUCCUGCGACCUGUGACCCUGAAGCAGAAUAAGUGGACUGAAUAAAGGAAUGAUGCGUAU
rnacentral:lncRNA from 10 species